rnacentral:rRNA from 1 species
UACGAAGGGGGCUAGCGUUGCUCGGCAUCACUGGGCGUAAAGCGCACGUCGGCGGAUUGUUAAGUCAGGGGGGAAAUCCUGGAGCUCAACUCCAGAACUGCCUUUGAUACUGGCGAUCUUGAGUCCGGGAGAGGUGAGUGGAACUGCGAGUGUAGAGGUGAAAUUCGUAGAUAUUCGCAAGAACACCAGUGGCGAAGGCGGCUCACUGGCCCGGUACUGACGCUGAGGUGCGAAAGCGUGGGGAGCAAACAGG